UCGACCUGAGAGCAAGCGAGAUUACCCGCCGAAUUUAAGCAUAUUAAUAAGCGGAGGAAAAGAAAACAACUGUGAUUCCCUUAGUAAUGGCGAAUGAAACGGGAAUAGCCCAUCGCCGAACUGCAGAUCGUCUCGAUCUUGCGGAAUGUGGCGUUUGGGAGAGUCUUCUCGCGGCCUGGACGGCCAGUCAAAGUCCAACUUGACAGUGGCCAUGGCCCGUAGAGGGUGAUAGGCCCGUAAGACGGCUGUCCGACUGCGCUGACUUUUCCCUAGAGUCGGGUUGCUUGGGAGUGCAGCCCAAAGUGCGAGGUAAACUCCUCGUAAGGCUAAAUAUGACCCCGAGACCGAUAGCAAACAAGUACCGUGAGGGAAGAUUGAAAAGAACUUUGAAGAGAGAGUUCAAGAGUACGUGAAACUGUGUGGUGGUAAACGGAGGGGUUCUCGAAGUUUCUGAGGGGGACUCAACCUUGGUGGUGCUGGGCCUUUGUGUAUUUGAUCAGCAAUGACUUUGCACUUAGUCCCCAGUGCCUCCCGGACGCACUUUCUCCUCAGUUUACGGCAGGAACCGUUAGGAGCGGACCAAAGGCUCGAGGUGAAGUUGUCGGUUAUGCUGGCAGCCCUCGGUGUCCUGGCUUCGCACCUGACGGGUAUGUAAGCGGACUCGUAUAGCGAGCAAUUGUCUAUGCGGUCGCAUCUCACUGCC
rnacentral:rRNA from 1 species